CAGUCGCCGCGGGAAUACGAAGGGUGCAAGCGUUACUCGGAAUUACUGGGCGUAAAGCGUGCGUAGGCGGUUUGUUAAGUCUGUUGUGAAAUCCCCGGGCUCAACCUGGGAAUGGCAAUGGAUACUGGCAAGCUAGAGUGUGUCAGAGGAUGGUGGAAUUCCCGGUGUAGCGGUGAAAUGCGUAGAGAUCGGGAGGAACAUCAGUGGCGAAGGCGGCCAUCUGGGACAACACUGACGCUGGAGCACGAAAGCGUGGGGAGCAGACAGGAUUAGAUACCCGCGUAGUCCCUGUCUCUUAUAC
rnacentral:rRNA from 1 species